GUCUACUGAAGAGUCCAAAAUAGGACGAAAUGUGUAUCGUGGAU
rnacentral:hammerhead_ribozyme from 1 species